rnacentral:ncRNA from 1 species
AUUUGAAAAGCCAAACCAGUUGUGAAACUGGGACGGAAAACCACGGGUCUCUUUGAGAUAGCCGGGUUGCCUCAA